GUGCCUCUCUCACUUCGGCGACCGUUUGUCAAGAAGCUCCGACGGUGCCUGCCCGGCUGCUGUCGGUGUGCCUUUGGCCUCGUGUUGAGCGUGUGCUUAGGAACGGGGAAACCGCGCUCAGAUGCUCAAUGCCGUCUUUCCCCUUGUCCCUGAUCAGAACUCAGAACUAACAAAACUUUAUUACUGAAUAUAAAGGCAACAAACAUUGCUUCAGUUGCAAGAAAAAGGAGCAGAACAGAAUUGAACAUUUCUGUGCUUUCAGAAGGAAGAAAAAAAGUCAAGAAUUUAUCUUUCAAGGAUGACUGCUCUUCAAGUACACCAGGUAGGAUCCAAUCAGGUGCCACAUCUGAAGUAUACUUGAGAUAAAUUCAGGAUAGGUUCAUGCUUGGCCUCAACUCUUCCCAAAUCUGUAAGUAUUUAGCUAAAGUCAGAGUUUAGACACAUCUCUUAGCUACCUGAGCCAUACAUCAGCAGAUAGAAAUCUCAGAAACAAAGAUUUUGCAAAUUACUUACAAGAUACAUACAGUAUAUGUGUACAUAGCUUCUUUGUAAUCUGUUUGCUGGAAGGAGUGGAAAUAUAAAGAAAAGAGUAUUUUCUCCCACAGAGCAAGUAGGUAAGGGGGAAAUAUUCCUGUCAAUUUCAGUGAGACUAGUUAUAAGCAAAAGUAUUGAAGCAAUGCUUGCAGGGCACAUGUACUACAGCUUGUCAGGGGCUUAUUGCUGUGAAAUCCAUUGCAAAACAUCUGCUUUGCUUUACUGGAAAAACCUACUCACGUUUCAGGAAAAAAAUCCAUUGGCAGCUAAUGACUUCAGAAAGGAAAAAAAGAGGACAGUUAAAUCAAAAUGAAUUUCUUUCACCAGUUAUAUAAGGACAAGUAUGUAGGUUGCUCUGAAAGUAAUGCCUCCUCUUUAUUUCCAUGGAAACAAGAGCAGCUACAAGAAGCACAAUAACGCUAUUUGAUAGAGCAAAUUCUCAGCUACAAAACACAAUUUUUUUCAGCAUAGUCAUAACCAUUAGCUAUGCAUUUUCGCCAGCAAUGAGCAAGAUCCUGGAUGCCAUGCUUGUAAAAAUCUGCAUGCUGUCUGGAAUGUGUCUUGCCUUUCAAAUCAGUGUCUCUAGUGCUGAAAUGCACCGCCUACUGCUCACUGUGCUCACAUCCACUGUCUGGUUUCCAUAAACAUUCAGAAAACGUUGAUGAAUAUCAGUGAGUUCAGUAUUUUCCACAUGGAAGAAUUCAGUGACACACCUUUGCUUCCUAUGCGCUUCCAUGUCAGAUGCCACUGUGUCAGACUGCCCCUUUGCUGCCAUCUGUUGCGUGGCAAUAACAUUUAAGGGAAUAUUGGUGAGAAGGUUCAGCUUCUGUUGUCACACCAUCAACAUCCACUUCUGAUGUUGUAAGCCAACAUAAUAAAAUGGGAGGCCAUACUUUCGGAGUACCCCUUGUAGAUUGGUAGUUAUCAGUAUACUGAGGAAAUAAAUGUACUUCGUAGAAAAUCUGUCUGUUAAGAAAUAGGAAUGAAAAUUCAAGUAACUGAUGCUUAACAUGUUUGGAACAGUGAACUUGCUUUUGCAUUCAUCUUAAGAAAAAUCAUAGGCAAAGUUGAUUGAGAGAGCAGUAAAUGCAACACAGAACCCCACAGGGAGUGGGGAGGGGAAAAGGAGGGAAGAGGUAAAAUAAGAUCAGGGAAGUCUGGGCACAUGGUUCACCUGAAUGACACACAGCUUUAGGUGUUAAAGAUACAGUUUCCUGAAUAAAUUUUUCCCUCUGAUGACUGUUUGAAAAUCAACUGUGGGAAGCUGUGGAAGUACUGAAAUAUGGAAGGUAAGGAAAUAUAACACUGCCUUUCUAUAAGUGGAGAGCAGACCAAUUCUAGUAAGACACAAGCUAUAUAUCUGGGCGCCAUUGCUCUCCAAAUGGUGGAGCCCACAGGGAGAUUCCUCCUUUGCCCUCUGUUUUUCUCAACUGAAGAGUGCCUCUGCUUUUGAAGACAAGCUUCCAUUUAGUGAUUCAUAAGCUUAGGUGUAAGUGCUUACUUGGAUCUACCCCCUUGAGAAUAAUUUCUGAGUAUCUCAGCGCAGGCUCUUGGCAAUGGAAAAGAAACACUCAGAUACAGAGGAGAAAGAGAUGAAUGGGAUAUAAAUACUAUUUUGGUUGAUUUUGAACAUCCAAGAUUAGCACGGAAAAUGCAGAUGAUUUGAAAACUCAUGGAGUGAAAAUAUAGUGGUGCAGCACAUCACACUUUCAAGAGUAAAGCCAAAAAUCUGCAGCAAUAUUA